GCAUCUCUCUCUCUCUCUCUCUCUUUCUCUCUCUCUGUCUGUGAUUCAGUAAACUCCCCUAAAUCCCUCCAUCCUUCCUCCUCCUCUCUCCUCCUCUCAGCACAAAUAUCUCCCAGAUGUGAAGAACGAAGGAGUGAGCGGACACAGGAACAGGACGUAAGCAGCCAGGAAGUCGACAGGUUACUGCAACUCCCAAAAGGACAGGCGCUUUCCGUCCCUGCUUGGGGUCAAAGUGUUGUUUUUGGACGCUAUAUUAGUCGUUGAGGGUGGUCAGUUUAGAUGUAAUUAAAGCCAUAGUGGAUGUGUGUGGUUUACAUAACUCUGUUUUUAUCAGAUCAGAUUAACUGAGAGCAAAUAUGUUAAUAAUUACUUUGCAAUAGAUCUGUUAUAAAAAUAUAUAUUUGCUGUCAGUGAUGGUCUUAUUAAUGGUGUUCAGGAAGAUGGUGGUGUUCUUGUUUGUGUAAUUAGUGGUGUUUUUGGCAGUUUUGAUUUUUUUUAUUGUAGUGUUAUUGAUGGUUUUUAGGGAGAUGGUGGCGGUGUUGAUGGUGUUGGUGAUGGAUGGGUUGGUGGUGG
rnacentral:lncRNA from 1 species